rnacentral:misc_RNA from 1 species
AACUUUUAGCAAUGGAUCUCUUGGCUCUCGCAACGAUGAAGAACGCUGCGAAAUGCGAUAAGUAAUGUGAAUUGCAAAAUUCCGUGAAUCAUCAAAUCUUUGAACGCACAUUGCGCUUCCUGGUAUUCCGGGGAGCAUAUCUGUUUGAGAAUCAGUUUAAACAUCAAGUAUUUAUGCUUGGAAUUGAGAAUUUACCGUAACAAGUAAUUCUUUAAAGUAAGAAAAAUAUUGCUUACUGAAAGCACCAACAAAACUAACGCAUGAUUAAUUUGAUUUUGCCAAAGUUGAGUUAGAGCUAGUAAGAAUUUUAUUUUAUUUUUACAAACACUGAGGUUAUUUACCUCAAAGACUUGAUCUCAAAUCAGAUAAGACAACCCGCUGAACUUAAGCAUAUCAAUAAGCGGAGGCU